UACGUAGGGGGCUAGCGUUGUCCGGAAUCAUUGGGCGUAAAGCGCAUGUAGGCGGUCCGGUAAGUCCGCUGUGAAAGUCGGGGGCUCAACCCUCGAAUGCCGGUGGAUACUGUCGGGCUAGAGUGCGGAAGAGGCGAGUGGAAUUCCUGGUGUAGCGGUGAAAUGCGCAGAUAUCAGGAGGAACACCAAUUGCGAAGGCAGCUCGCUGGGACGUUAACUGACGCUGAGACGCGAAAGCGUGGGGAGCAAACAGG
rnacentral:rRNA from 1 species